UACGAAGGGUGCUAGCGUUGUUCGGAAUCACUGGGCGUAAAGCGCGCGUAGGCGGCUUAUCAAGUCAGGGGUGAAAUCCUUGGGCUCAACCCAAGAAUUGCCUUUGAAACUGGUAAGCUAGAGACUCGGAGGGGAUAGCGGAAUUCCUAAUGUAGCGGUGAAAUGCGUAGAUAUUAGGAGGAACACCGGUGGCGAAGGCGGCUAUCUGGACGAGUACUGACGCUGAGGCGCGAAAGCGUGGGGAUCAAACAGG
rnacentral:rRNA from 1 species